GACGAACGCUGGAGGCGUGCUUAACACAUGCAAGUCGAACGAUGAAAUGGAGCUUGCUCCAUGGAUUAGUGGCGAACGGGUGAGUAACACGUGAAUAACCUGCCCUUAAUUUUGGAAUAACCCAGGGAAACCUGGGCUAAUACCGGAUAAGUAAGCCUGUGGCAUCACAUGGUUUUGGAAAGUUUUUCGCUUAAGGAUGGAUUCGCGGCCUAUCAGCUUGUUGGUGAGGUAAUGGCUCACCAAGGCGACGACGGGUAGCCGGCCUGAGAGGGUAGAGGACCCAACCGGGUGUGAGACACGGCCCAGACUCCGUCGGGGGGCCGCAGUGGGGAAUUUUGCGCAAUGGACGAAAGACUUACGCAGCGACGCCUCGUGAGGGACGAAGGUCUUCGGAGUGUAAACCUCUUUCAGCAGGGACGAAGCGAAAGUGACGGUACCUGCAGAAGAAGCACCGGCUAACUAUGUGCCAGCCGCCGCAGUAA
rnacentral:rRNA from 1 species